UACGUAGGGAGCAAGCGUUGUCCGGAAUCAUUGGGCGUAAAGAGCGCGUAGGUGGCUUUAUAAGUCCGUUGUGAAAGUCAAAGGCUCAACCUUUGAAAGCCGAUGGAUACUGUGAAGCUAGAGUACGGAAGAGGCGAGUGGAAUUCCUGGUGUAGCGGUGGAAUGCGCAGAUAUCAGGAGGAACACCAAUAGCGAAGGCAGCUCGCUGGGACGUACUGACACUGAGGCGCGAAAGCGUGGGGAGCGAACAGG
rnacentral:rRNA from 1 species